GGAGGUUAUCCGGGAGUACAGGUGGUGCAUGGUUGUCGGUCAGCUCGUGUCGUGAGAUGUUGGUUAAGUCCGCUAACGAGCGCAACCCUCGCUGUGUGUUACAAGUGUCACACGGAACUGCCGGUCAUAAACCGGAGGAAGGUGGGGAUGACGUCAAGUCAGCAUGGCCUUUAUAUCCUGGGCUACACACACGCUACAAUGGGAAGGGACAAUAGGUUGCGAAGCCGCGAGGCGGAGCCAAUCCAGCAAAACUUCCCUCAGUUCAGAUUGCAGGCUGCAACUCGCCUGCAUGAAGUUGGAGUUGCUAGUAAACGCAGGUCAGCCAUACUGCGUUGAAUACGUUCCCGGGGCUU
rnacentral:rRNA from 1 species